rnacentral:rRNA from 1 species
UACGUAGGGGGCGAGCGUUGUCCGGAUUUAUUGGGCGUAAAGAGCGUGUAGGCGGCCAGGUAGGUCUGCUGUGAAAACUCGAGGCUCAACCUCGAGACGUCGGCGGAAACCAUCUGGCUAGAGUCCGGAAGAGGAGAGUGGAAUUCCUGGUGUAGCGGUGAAAUGCGCAGAUAUCAGGAAGAACACCGUGGCGAAGGCGGUCU